rnacentral:rRNA from 1 species
AAAGAGAAGCAAGACCGUGAGGUGGAGCAAAACUCAAAAACUUAGUCUCAGUUCGGAUUGUAGGCUGAAACUCGCCCACAUGAAGCUGGAGUUGCUAGUAAUCGCGAAUCAGCAUGUCGCGGUGAAUACGUUCCCGGGCCUUGUACACACCGCCCGUCACACCAUGAGAGUUGGCAAUACCCAACGUACGUGAUCUAACCCGCAAGGGAGGAAGCGUCCUAAGGUAGGGUCAGCGAUUGGGGUGAAGUCGUAACAAGGUAGC